UGGGGAAUUUUGGACAAUGGGCGCAAGCCUGAUCCAGCCAUGCCGCGUGCGGGAAGAAGGCCUUCGGGUUGUAAACCGCUUUUGUCAGGGAAGAAAUCUUCUGAGUUAAUACCUCGGGAGGAUGACGGUACCUGAAGAAUAAGCACCGGCUAACUACGUGCCAGCAGCCGCGGUAAUACGUAGGGUGCAAGCGUUAAUCGGAAUUACUGGGCGUAAAGCGUGCGCAGGCGGUUUUGUAAGACAGAGGUGAAAUCCCCGGGCUCAACCUGGGAACUGCCUUUGUGACUGCAAGGCUUGAGUGCGGCAGAGGGGGAUGGAAUUCCGCGUGUAGCAGUGAAAUGCGUAGAUAUGCGGAGGAACACCGAUGGCGAAGGCAAUCCCCUGGGCCUGCACUGACGCUCAUGCACGAAAGCGUGGGGAGCAAACAGGAUUAGAUACCCUGGUAGUCCACGCCCUAAACGAUGUCAACUGGUUGUUGGGAAGGUUCCUUCUCAGUAACGUAGCUAACGCGUGAAGUUGACCGCCUGGGGGAGUACGGCCGCAAGGUUGAAACUCAAAUGAAUUGACGGGGG
rnacentral:rRNA from 1 species